CCAUUGACAACAACUACUGCCCCAGUGACAACAACUACUGCCCCAGUGACAACAACUACUGUAGCUGGAGCCCUUAUGUGUCUAAAUUGUGUAGAUGAGCAGUGUUCAAACCCACAGACUGUGACAUGUCCUGACUCACAGACGAUGUGUGUAACAGCUACUUCUCUAGAAACCCGUGCCGGAGGGGUAGAGACACAUGUUUUCAAGAGGUGUGCAUCGUCCUCAGUGUGUCCAGCCACAGGCCCUCGUUCAUUUUCAACCAGCUUUAGGGGUGAUGGUGUAGUUAC